GAUGAACGCUGGCGGCGUGCCUAGUACAUGCAAGUCGAGCGAACAGACGAGGAGCUUGCUCCUCUGACGUUAGCGGCGGACGGGUGAGUAACACGUGGAUAACCUACCUAUAAGACUGGGAUAACUUCGGGAAACCGGAGCUAAUACCGGAUAAUAUAUUGAACCGCAUGGUUCAAUAGUGAAAGACGGUUUUGCUGUCACUUAUAGAUGGAUCCGCGCCGCAUUAGCUAGUUGGUAAGGUAACGGCUUACCAAGGCAACGAUGCGUAGCCGACCUGAGAGGGUGAUCGGACACGCUGGAACUGAGACACGGACCAGACUCCUACGGGAGGCAGCAGUAGGGAAUCUUCCGCAAUGGGCGAACGCCUGACGGAGCAACGCCGCGUGAGUGAUGAAGGUCUUCGGAUCGUAAAACUCUGUUAUUAGGGAAGAACAAAUGUGUAAGUAACUAUGCACGUCUUGACGGUACCUAAUCAGAAAGCCACGGCUAACUACGUG
rnacentral:rRNA from 1 species